rnacentral:rRNA from 1 species
AGAAACCAACAGGGAUUGCCUCAGUAACGGCGAGUGAAGCGGCAACAGCUCAAAUUUGAAAUCUGGCCUCUUUGGGGUCCGAGUUGUAAUUUGUAGAGGAUGUUUCGGGUACCGCCCCGGUCUAAAUUUCUUGGAACAGAAUGUCAAAGAGGGUGAGAAUCCCGUCUUGGAUCGGUGGUAGGGCCUAUGUGAAACUCCUUCGACGAGUCGAGUUGUUUGGGAAUGCAGCUCAAAAUGGGUGGUAAAUUUCAUCUAAAGCUAAAUAUUGGCCAGAGACCGAUAGCGCACAAGUAGAGUGAUCGAAAGAUGAAAAGCACUUUGAAAAGAGAGUUAAACAGUAUGUGAAAUUGUUGAAAGGGAAGCGCUUACAACCAGACUUGAGCGCGGCGGUUCCCCCUUCCUUUUGGUUGGGUUACUCCGUCGUGUCCAGGCCAACAUCGGUUUCGGGGGUCGGUUAAAGGCCUUGGGAAUGUACCUACUCUCUCGAGGGUAGACUUAUAGCCCAGGGUGUCAUGCGACCUCCCGGGACCGAGGAACGCGCUUCGGCUCGGAUGUUGGCGUAAUGGUUGUCAGCGACC